AUGGAUCAAAUGCAAGGAUCGUCCCAAGCGUUCGGAGAAAAUCUGACGAUACAUCCAGUCAUCAUAUUGUCGAAUGCCAUACAAGUAAUGUCUGUUUAAAGAACCCUUGCAUGAACGGAGGAAGGUGUCAGGAAAAUUACGAAGGAUCGUACUCCUGCCAGUGUGACUUUGGUUACGGCGGAAAAACAUGUGACCACUUUGUGCAGCUCAUCAUCCAAAACAUUGACGAAGAGCAAAUUAUGAUCGGCAAUACAUCAGAUUUGUCAUUUUCAAAUUUACUCUCUCUGAACUUCACAUGCCUGGGUUUUGUUCUCGACAGCUAUACCGACACCUUAUAUAUCGCUGCAAAGCCUGCUGUUAAUACA